GGCCUUUACAAAAUGACUGUUGAAACUGUAGCGCACAUUUCUCGGCAACAUUAGAAGUGGGAUAAAUGUGUUGAUUUGAAGGACAGACGGGCAGACUCUGGGGAAGCCUGGGCAACUGAAAUGUCUGAGCUUUUUCAACAGUCUGACUGUCAACAUCUGAACCAAAACCAAAUUAAGGGAGACAUAAAUAUGAUUAAAAAACAACUGUUGAUACAAUAUGGAAAUAAAAUGGGUGGAGGAGAUGAAUCAUAAACCCACAUGGAGAACCUUUUGUUUGAUUAACAGUGAAUUGGUGUGUGAUAGUGUCACGGUUGUCGUCAGAAGGAUGAGACCAAAGCGCAGCGUGACAGCACAGCAGAUAUACCCUGGCAUUAUGUGGC